rnacentral:lncRNA from 1 species
GCAUGGAUACACCUAAUUGUAAAAGAGGCUGAGAAAUAGAGACUAUUGUGCCCAGAAAGAAGAGAAAAUUCAUUUAUGGAAGAGGUAGCUAGUCUCUCACAGCCAUGAAAAGAGAAGUCUUUAGCUAAUUGAAGUGAAUAGCAGCCAUCUUGUGUCCCUAAGGCAAGUUAGACUAAUAUUGAAGUGGAAACCAUGAGGAAAGCAGUGAUACUGAAAGUAACCACAUCUUUGAGAACAUGCAUUCAUUUCCUACAACAUGAAUUUAUUGAGGACCUACCUUAAUAUAGGCAGCGUGCUAGACACCAAGAGAACUGAUGUCCUCUUCCUUCCUGCCUGCCUGGAGCCUAUAUUCUGGAGGGGACAGAGCUAGAAAGUCCUUUCCCCAUUGCUUGUUUUUGUCAGGUUUGUCAAAGGUCAGAUGGUUGUAGAUGUGUGGUGUUAUUUCUGAGGUCUCUGUUUCAUUGGUCUAUAUAUCUGUUUUGGUACCAGUACCAUGCUGUUUUGGUUACUGUAGCCUUGUAGUAUAGUUUGAAGUCAGGUAGUAUGAUGCCUCCAGCUUUGUUCUUUUGGCUUAGGAUUGUCUUGGCUAUCUGGGCUCUUUUUUGGUUCCAGAUGAAAUUUAAAGUAGUUUUUUUCUAAUGCUGCAAAAAAAGUCAAGGUUAGCUUGAUGGGAGUAGCAUUGAAUCUAUACAUUACUUUGCUCUGCCCCUGUUUAUAUAUAUAUGACUGAUAUGGUUUGGCUGUGUCCCUGCCCAAAUCUCAUCUUGAAUUCCCACAUGUUGUGGGAGGAACCUGGAGGGAGGCAAUUGAUCAUGGGGCAAGUCUUUGCCAUGCUGUUCUUGUGAUAGUGAAUAAGUCUCAUGAGAUCUGACGGUUUUAAAAAGAGGAGUUCCCCUGCACAAAUUCUCUUUGCCUGCUGCCAUCCAUGUAAGGCAUGACUUACUCCUCCUUG